UCACAUUUACUUUUUUGUAUAGGACAUCUAGCUAUGCAAUUACUUUUCUGAGCUGUUAAUACUGACUUGUCUCCCUUAAGUUCUUUUUUAUUAAAGUUUUUCAACAAUUCUAUUAUUUUCUGUUUUAAAAAUCCCCUAUCAGUAUGCAUGGAAUAUAAUGCAGUUUCUCCACUACUGUACUAUCUUGUCUAAGUUUUCCCUUGUACUCCGCUGUCAAUAAAUAAUGGAUCCACUUUCCAGGACAGGGGAAUGUGUGGCUCUGAGGAGUUUUGGAAAGAGGAAAAUAUGGCACUGUGGUCAAGGCAAACCUCAAGUUUUAUAUCCACUAAACACUUAAUCCUUGACCAAAUCAUUAAAUAUUAACCAAAUAUCAAUACUGCUAGCAAUUAGCUGUGAACAAACUGAACAGCAUGAAAUCUUUAAGUGUAUUAAUAUUCUAACUAUGAAAUUAUUUUUAAUCUAUCUUAUUUUUUUGCAGGUACACAAGUGUGAAAUGCAUUGUGUUUGCGCUACAGCAAUUUGUCUGGCACUUACUGCAGAUGAGCAAGGCUAUGAGAUGUUAAUGAGUCGUUUCCCCAAGUACAAGAAUCUGCAAAUGCCAAGAAUGGAUUUCUGAAGCCUUUGUCUAUAAACUUGAGAAAUAAUACCCAGAAAUACGGAGGAUAAAGUAGACAACAAAACCGCAAGAUGAACUACUUAACAAACUGGUCAGAGGAGACAGAUCAGCAAAGCAGCUGUGUGUGUAGAUUGUGUGGUACUGCAAGCAGACUCAACUUGAACUUCAGCAAAUGAUAGAUUUAUGGAAUGCAAAACGGAAUGCUCAAGAAAUGAAACUGAGUACAGACAAGACAGUGGUCAUGUCAGCAAAUGGGUGUGACAAAGAUGCUAGGGUUUAUAUAUAGUGAAUGUGUUACAACCACUGUCACUAAGAGUAUUAUGUAGCAUAGCCAUUUUAAGAGUGUAUGAAUCCUAUAAUGCACUGUAGUAACAAAGUAUUUGAGAUGACUGAAGUGUUAACGUGAUUUCUACUGAGCUGCCAUUUUGUACAAAAUAGAAGUUAUCUAACUAAAAUGCUUGGGUGUCCUGACAUUGCCAUUUGUUAUUACUGGGUAAUCAAAGGUGUGCAGUGUGUCAAAACCAGGAUUUUCUUUAUGAAUAAAAAAAUGAAAAUGUGUAUUAUAAAACCACACCAGUGAACCAAGCUGUAUCCGCCAAGAACAUAAUAAAUUGUUUUACCAAAUAUAA